UUGUGGAGGAGGACGCCGAAGGUGGGGCUAAUGACUGGGGUGAAGUCGUACAAGGUAGCCGUACCGGAAGGUGCGGCUGGAUCACCUCCUAACAGGGAGACAUCACUGAUUUUGAUGCCUAAAUAAUUUAUCUUUAGGCCAUAAUCCUGUCACCUUAGGUCGAUCGGUACCUCAAUUUUGUUUUGCAGAUCAAAGAAAUUUGUUUUGUAAAUAAAGAAUUUAGUUCCUAAACUUUGUCUAGGUCACACCCAGCAAUGGAACUCCUGGGCCAUUAGCUCAGGUGGUUAGAGCGCACCCCUGAUAAGGGUGAGGUCCCUGGUUCAAGUCCAGAAUGGCCCAUUCGGUGUUGGGGGUAUAGCUCAGUUGGUAGAGCGCCUGCUUUGCAAGCAGGAUGUCAGCGGUUCGAGUCCGCUUACCUCCACUGAUACACCACCUGAUAACGAAUGCUUAAGGAGAAUUUUGCUGAUGUGAACUAGAAUUUGUUCUUACAAGAACCUAGCUUCUUGUCAAUCCACCAAAGGUAAUAAUCUUUUGGGAAGGCUGAUAGGACGCUGGGCUCACUGCAAUAACAAUUGCAGAUAAGUUCAGUAGAACCUUGAAAACUGCAUAGGUGAGUCUGGAAAAAAUAAAGCAUCUCAUUGGAUGCAUUAUUUUUGCCAUAACGUUAAAUUCUGUCUAAUCAGAAUUAUGUUUUGGCUAUUAAGAAAUAAUGUUUAAUUCUUGAGCAAGAGCUAAGACUCUAAUACCUAAACUUUCUUUUUUACAAAAGAGAGAAUUGCUAAUAGCAAUAAAGGUUUUAGAUGUAAUGGUCAAGCUACAA
rnacentral:misc_RNA from 1 species